rnacentral:rRNA from 1 species
GACGAACGCUGGCGGCGUGCUUAACACAUGCAAGUCGUACGGUAAGGCCCUUUCGGGGGUACACGCGUGGCGAACGGGCGAGUAACUCGCGCGUAACCUGCCCACCACUUUCGGAUAAAGCACUGCAACUGACGCUAAUUAUGGCCAUGUGCUCCCGCCGCCUGGUGGGGGUUGGAAAGCUCCGGCGGUUGUGGAUGGACUCGCGGCCUACCAGCCUGUUGGUGGGGUAGUGGCCUACCAAGGCGGCGACGGGUAGCCGGCCUGAGAGGGUGACCGGCCACAUUGGGACUGAGAUACGGCCCAGACUCCUACGGGAGGCAGCAGUGGGGAAUAUUGCACAAUGGGCGCAAGCCUGAUGCAGCAACGCCGCGUGCGGGAUGACGGCCUUCGGGUUGUAAACCGCUUUCAGCAGGGACGAAGCUUUUUGUGACGGUACCUGCAGAAGAAGCACCGGCUAACUACGUG